CUUGUACACACCGCCCGUCACACCAUGGGAGCGGGUCUCGCCAGAAGUAGUUAGCCUAACCGCAAGGAGGGCGAUUACCACGGCGGGAUUCGUGACUGGGGUG
rnacentral:rRNA from 1 species